CUUCGCUUAGUCCCUCUCAGCCCCCUUGGUGCCUUCCCUCAGCCCCCUUGGUGCCCUCCUUUAGCAGCCUUCCCUCAGCCCCUUCCCUCAGCCCCCCACAGCCUUCCCUGAAUCCCUUCCCUGAGCUCCUUGGUGCUUUCCCUUAGCCCCCCUCAGUCCCCUGGUGCCUUCCCUUAGCCCCUUCCCUCAUCCCUUCAGCACCUUCCCUCAGCUCCUUCCCUCAGCCCCCUCAAUGCCUUCCCUCAGCCCCUUCCCUCAGCCCCAUCCCUCCAGCAUCUUUUGAGCCCUUUUCUCAGUCCCUCCUUUCACCCCUCAGCACCCUCCUCUUGUCCCUUCAUAAAAUCACAGAAUGGCCGAGGUUGGAAGGAUGAUGACCUCUAAAGAUCAUCCAGUCCAAACCCCUGCCAAGCAGGAGCACCUAGAGCACGUUGUGCAGGAUGGCACCUGAGAAAAUCUGUGGCCUGCUGGAUCACCCUCUUUGUCUCCUGCCUGUGAGAGCAUCAGAAGUGUGAACUGCCCACUUGGCUGCUGGAGGGAAUCCAGAUGGGAGGAGGUCGUUUGUGGCUGAAGCUGAUCGACCCCCAGCCCGGUUGGAACUGCAGCUGGGAUUACGCACAGGUAUUAGCAGAGUAUGGCCACUCCUGCUGGCACUACCUGCUAUUCUCUGGUGCUCAGCAGAAUGAUUUAUCCAUUUAGUGUCAUCCCUGGACAAACCCUGGGGCAAGAGACUAUGUUGCUGUGGUUGGGAUGGGGACACAGGUGUUCCUCUGUUUGCGAUUCUCCUCAGAGGCCACCACCCUUACAGCCCCCGCUACCCAAACCUCGCCCCACAAACCCAGUACAAAACACAAAACCUGUGGACGGAGGAAAAACACGACCAGCAAUCGCAAAUUUGUGGCUGGAACGGCAAUUCGGGAAGAACCUUGUGAGAAGACUGCGAGAGUGGGAAUGGGAGGAAAAUAGGGCACGCAAGACAGCUGACAGGCAGCGCCUCUUCCGAACCUGGAUGGAGAUGAGAAAAGCUGCACCCAAAUUUCUCUCCUUGCCCCCACGGGUGCCAGCCCACGGGUCUGGUUUCUCUUUGGAGACGGAGCAGGAGGAGAAGGCAGAAGAUGAAGCCUGUUCAUCACCUGGCUCGUUGAGUUUAGCCCUGAUAAGCCGGGAGAAGCAGAGAAUAACAUGCAAGGAUUUAGGGCAGUGCCAUUUAUACG
rnacentral:lncRNA from 1 species